rnacentral:rRNA from 1 species
GACAGAGGGUGCAAACGUUGUUCGGAAUUACUGGGCGUAAAGCGAGUGUAGGCGGUUUCCUAAGUCAGGUGUGAAAGCCCCGGGCUCAACCCGGGAAGUGCACUUGAAACUGGGAGGCUAGAGUAUCGGAGAGGUUGGUGGAAUUCUCGGUGUAGAGGUGAAAUUCGUAGAUAUCGAGAGGAACACCGGUGGCGAAGGCGACCAACUGGACGAAUACUGACGCUGAGACUCGAAAGCGUGGGGAGCAAACAGG